AGCGAACGCUGGCGGCAGGCUUAACACAUGCAAGUCGAACGGAUCCUUCGGGAUUAGUGGCGGACGGGUGAGUAACACGUGGGAAUGUGCCUUUGGGUACGGAACAACUCAGGGAAACUUGAGCUAAUACCGUAUGUGCCCUUCGGGGGAAAGAUUUAUCGCCUUUAGAGCAGCCCGCGUCUGAUUAGCUAGUUGGUAGGGUAAAGGCCUACCAAGGCGACGAUCAGUAGCUGGUCUGAGAGGAUGAUCAGCCACAUUGGGACUGAGACACGGCCCAAACUCCUACGGGAGGCAGCAGUGGGGAAUCUUGCGCAAUGGGCGAAAGCCUGACGCAGCCAUGCCGCGUGAAUGAUGAAGGUCUUAGGAUUGUAAAAUUCUUCCACCGGGGACGAUAAUGACGGUACCCGGAGAAGAAGCCCCGGCUAACUUCGUGCCAGCAGCCGCGGUAACAC
rnacentral:rRNA from 1 species